rnacentral:misc_RNA from 1 species
UCUCCAUUGGUGAACCAGCGGAGGGAUCAUUACCGAGUUAAAACUCCCAAACCCCCUGUGAACUUAUACCAUUUACUGUUGCUUCGGCGGAUCAUGGCCCCGGGGAAGGACAGCGGUCGCCGUCAGGCCUCAGCUGCCCGCCCCCGGAAACAGGCGCCCGCCGGGGAACUCAAACUCUUCUGUAUUUCUUUAUCUAAUAUAUACUGUCUGAGUAAAAACUAAAAUGAAUCAAAACUUUCAACAACGGAUCUCUUGGUUCUG